rnacentral:rRNA from 1 species
GACGAACGCUGGCGGCGUGCUUAACACAUGCAAGUCGAACGGAAAGGCCCUGCUCUUUUGGGGUGCUCGAGUGGCGAACGGGUGAGUAACACGUGAGUAACCUGCCCUUGACUUUGGGAUAACUUCAGGAAACUGGGGCUAAUACCGGAUAGGAGCUCCUGCUGCAUGGUGGGGGAUGGAAAGUUUCGGCGGUUGGGGAUGGACUCGCGGCUUAUCAGCUUGUUGGUGGGGUAGUGGCUUACCAAGGCUUUGACGGGUAGCCGGCCUGAGAGGGUGACCGGCCACAUGGGGACUAAGGUACGGCCCAGACUCCUACGGGAGGCAGCAGGGGGGAAUAUUGCACAGUGGGCGGAAGCCUGAUGCAGCAACGCCGCGUGCGGGAUGACGGCCUUCGGGUUGUAAACCGCUUUCGCCUGUGACGAAGCGUGAGUGACGGUAAUUGGUAAAGAAGCACCGGCUAACUAUGUG